UGGGGAAUAUUGGACAAUGGGCGCAAGCCUGAUCCAGCCAUGCCGCGUGUGUGAAGAAGGCCUUUUGGUUGUAAAGCACUUUAAGCGAGGAGGAGGCUACUUGGAUUAAUACUCUAGGAUAGUGGACGUUACUCGCAGAAUAAGCACCGGCUAACUCUGUGCCAGCAGCCGCGGUAAUACAGAGGGUGCGAGCGUUAAUCGGAUUUACUGGGCGUAAAGCGUGCGUAGGCGGCUUCUUAAGUCGGAUGUGAAAUCCCUGAGCUUAACUUAGGAAUUGCAUUCGAUACUGGGAAGCUAGAGUAUGGGAGAGGAUGGUAGAAUUCCAGGUGAAACGGUGAAAUGCGUAGAGAUCUGGAGGAAUACCGAUGGCGAAGGCAGCCAUCUGGCCUAAUACUGACGCUGAGGUACGAAAGCAUGGGGAGCAAACAGG
rnacentral:rRNA from 1 species